rnacentral:pre_miRNA from 1 species
GGAAUUCUGGUCUUGAAUGGUGGAUAGAUGCUGUCUAUUUAUCUCUAGCACCAUUUGAAAUCAGUGCUUCC